AUGGCGCAUCGAUCUUCUUGCUCCGUCUUUAAUUCACGACGAUGUCGUUCUCUUCGUCUUCUUUGCAUGAUCUCUAUUAUGGCUAUCAUUAUUUCUUCAUCUCCGAUCAAUUUCCAUCGUGGCUAUUUUCAUCUUCGUUUCAUCUCUGAUCGAUUUCCGCUCAACCUUCACGAAUUAUUAAGGACGAAGCCGCCAUCUUCAUCUUUGUUCAACCUCAAGCUUCAUAUGACUCAUCUUUUCCGAUGCAACUAG